UCUCAUCUUCUGUCGUGAUAAAUCUUCCCUAUAAAUAGGGCAAGUGUUAUGCAAAUACUCAUAUCAGUCAAGUUCAGAGUAAGCUCGAGGUCCAUUUAGCUGGUUAGUAGUGUUGGGUAUAUAUUCCAUAUUCCAUAUUUCCAUUUCCAUAUGCUUUCUGUCAAUAAGUUUCUCUGUAUGCAUCAUCCUCAUACUUGACUUUCUCCAGGGUCUUAUUGAAGGCAUUGUUUUUAGGUGAACUCGGACUUUCUCCAGGGUGAAGAUCCAAGAUUUUCGAUCGAGCAACGACAACGCUUAUGCAUUGUUUCCUUCUUGGGGGCGUUGCUUUUGGAGAACCUCAUUUGUAUUUCGGGUGUUGUCUUCGGUGGUUGGUAGAGUGCUACUGAUGCUAGUGAUACAUCACCGUGGCAGGGUCUUUUUUUCUGUUCCUUCUAUUUUCCUUUUUGGCUGUGUGUAUUCUUGAUGCCUUUGAACAUCUUGUUGGUAUAGAGGCCGGGUGUAAUUGGUAUCUUCGUGAUAUUAAUAUGUUCCUUUUGUCAAAAAAAAUUUAGAUAGGAAGUAAGAAUUAUAUACAAAUAAGCACCACAUAAACGGCAGCCCAAACUUCCCAUUCCGUCAUCGCAACACUAAGUAACUACUCGCUUAAGACUAUCUUUCUCCAUCUUCCUUGACUCAAGGCAAUGCUGGUGAAUUUUAUCGACUACUGAUGUAUGAAGCAGAGAGGUGUUGUUGAACACCCUUGUGCUUCUCUCAAGCACAUGCAUCAUAGCGAGCAGAGGAUCAACCAGUUGACACCUUUUCUCAGCUUGGGAGGGAUGCCCUGCUGAAGAUCAGACCACCAGGUGAGGACGUCUGGUUCGGCAGGAAGAUCCAUCUCAGGAUGUGAGACCAGACCUCACGCGCAAGACCAUCAUUAGGUGCUCGGUCGUUUCCUUAGGUACACAUCUCUCUUUUUUUGGAUAUUUUCUUGGUAGUGAAUUAGUGAUUAAACUUUUUAGAGGAAAGGUAUUUCUGUCCAGAAUUUGGUGAUUAAAAUUGAGCUGUGAACUUGGGAUUGCUCGGAAAUUACAUGCAUGGCAUUGAGAUAUGCACAAAUUUAAUUAGGCUUGUCUUAAUCUACUCUGGCUGGAACUUCACAGUUUGGCAUACAUGUACAUACAUAACUGACCGAUCAAGCACACGAUUUUUUAAAAAGAAGGAUUACCCCCGGUUUCUGCAUUAAAAUGAUGCAUGCAUCCAUAUUAUUAUACGAAGUAGCCAUCAAAUACAUAGUUCGAUACAAAUUGGCAAAACGAGUUAAAAUAAAAUAAAAAUUGCCACAACACCGAUUAAGCACACUUUAAGGACCGAUUAAGCACACAUGACUUGCAUACUUCUUUAUUUCUCCAUAUUCAUUUAUUCGUGAGCCAGCAUGUAUGUAUGCAGGCCACAGCAAGCCAGCAAGAGCUAUCCACCUAUCCAACGUGGGGGGUCUCGGCGACGGUGCCCACGAAGAUGCGGACACGGUUGGGCCUCAAGUCCUCGGUCACGGCGGAGCCGACCGGCACCAUGACAAUGUCGGCGUCGGGCUUGUCCUUCAGGAUGAUCUCCUUGGCCUCCUUGAUGGUCAGCCCCACCACCUCCGGCGACGAAGUCUUCUUUCCACCGGCGAGGUCGUCGGAGGAACUCAUCUUCGUAGCACUGGUUGAUAAUUUGAGAUCGAUCGAUCAAUCAGAGAUAGCUUAAUUGAGGCGGAGUGAGGUAUUUCAGCAACAAACUAAACAAGAAGAUCAGUUGAGGCACAUCUAGUUGCUACUCACCGAUUGAUGGACGGUCUUCUCCGAGCUGAUGGACGUACGGCCGAUGAUAUUCGAUGAUUGACCGGCUAGCAAAAGUUGCGCUGUGCGUGAGACUUGAUUUGCAUAACACAUUGGUCGAGUGAUGUAAUAUAGUAGAGAGAUUACGAGUAGGUAGCAGCUUCAUUUUCCACCCAUGGUACCUUCUAGUAGAGCAUCUCCAACAGCCGCGGAACACGUGGCGCGCUAAAAAAUAGUUUGCGGCGCGCCCAUCGUCAGGUUUGGCGCGGCGCGCAGCGCUGGCUCCAGCAGCCGCGCUAAAAUACAGCGCGCGCGCAGCUCCUGUAGCUCCGCACAUGUCCAUAUUUGUUGCAUUUUGAACACAAAAUAAAUUCAUAGCAUAGAUAUAAAAAACGAUACAAAGAUAUUUUUUACAUAGUUCAUAGCAUAAUAGAUAAACAAGUUCAUAGCAUAGAUAAAACCGAACUACGGUGCAACUAGAUAAAACUACGGUGCAACUAGAUAAAAAAACUACGGUGCAGAACUACUCCGAGUCCUCAUCAUCAUAAAGGGGAACGGGGCAUCCAGAGUCAAAGGGUGUGCCGCCGGCGCUAGGAAAGAGAUCCUUGUCCCCUUCCACCCAGGGACGCAAAAGUCCCACUGGGAUAUGGCAGGGCAUGCCCGAGUGAGGGAUACCUGAGCGAGGGAUGCCACUCAGAUGAGGUUGAGGAGAAAAUGAAAGUAGAUAUGGCAGUACACAUGGCAAAGUGUGGAUGAUAAGUACAGAAAGAAGCGGAGUGCUAUAGUGGUGGGACAUGUAAGAGACUAUUCAGAAAGAGCUCUUUUACAGUACCCUUAAAUCAACACAGACCGUCCGUUUUCUUUAAUCCGACGGAUGUUGCUUAUUGGUACUCCAGCGCAGAGUGUUAGGGAGUACUAGUACCAAGUGUUAAGGAGUACCCCCAGUUCAAGGGUAAAAACGUGACAGCAGAUACGUAAAAACAGAAAACGUAACAGAAGAUGACAAAUAACGUGCGCCUAAUAUUUAGAUCGAACAGUUACCUUGAAGAUCCUAAAAAAAAAAGAACAGUUACCUUGAAGGAUCUGAUUUCUUUUAGGAAUACACCGUUUAUUUUGUGCGAAUAGGAAUAAAAGAUUUGACUGGAUAUUGUUUCUACGUGCUUGAGCGGCUGCUCGUAUGGAUUCAAUGCACAAGAACUACAUGCAUCUGCUGGCGUUCUGUUGUUUUUUGCAAGUUCGUUGUUUUCAAUCUACGAAGUUCUUACUAACACUCAAGUAUCUGUAGGGGAACGCGACAGAAAACGAAAAUUUUCGGUAUAGCGAGCACGCCCAGGACCACUAUGGAGACUGCAUACAAGGUUUGAUCUGAUCCGUACCGACUCGAAGCGCAGCGGAAGAAGAGUCGGUGU
rnacentral:lncRNA from 1 species